GCUGGGUGUGGUGGUGUGCACCUGUAAUCUCAGUUACUUGGGAGGCUGAGGCAGGAGAAUUGCUUGAACCCAGGAGGCAGAGGUUGCAGUGAGCCGAGAUCGAGCCACUGCACCCCAGCCUGGGUGACAGAGUGAGAUCCUGUCUCAA
ensembl:misc_RNA Metazoa_SRP Metazoan signal recognition particle RNA